AGAGAACCAUAGAUAUUGUUAGAUUAUUUAAUUAAAUACUGAAUUCUAGAUCAUGACUAUUGCAUAUAAUAGGCAUGCACGUUCUUUUCAUUUAUGUAAAUAAUGAUGUUUUGGGAUUCAAAAAUUUUAUGCUAACUUCAGUUAAAAAUAAGGUAAUUUUAAAAAAUAAAGAUAGGAUUUAAUAAAAUAGUAGUCACUAAUGGCCUCAUUUCUCCAAUUUCUCAUUGCACGAACAGACGAAUAUCUAAUCUCUUUGAAAAUCAAUUCCACAAACCAUCAUAUAACGAUUCCAAAACCUUUAGGAUAUGGUUCUCAGAGACAGCUAAGGCAAGACAUACAAAUACAUACUCAAAUGAAUAUCCUUUAUUCUUCUUGAAAGACAGCUAAUGCCUGAGAUGGAAAUAUUUAUCGGGGACCCAUAGUUUGACAGUGAAAGAGAAGAGAGAAGUAGAAGAAAGGAGCAGACCACAAGUGAGGAUGCCAGACUACACACAUGUCAUGAUUCACACUUCUUUGUUUGGGGGCAUUCCUCUUCUACCAUAUCCAGUUUCAAAUGGAGCUCCUCUGGAUAAAGUAAGCUUUGGUUUCCCUGCUCUCACCUACCCAUUGGCUUCCAGCAUUUUCACACUCUG
rnacentral:lncRNA from 1 species